rnacentral:rRNA from 1 species
AUAACGACUCUCGGCAACGGAUAUCUCGGCUCUCGCAUCGAUGAAGAACGUAGCGAAAUGCGAUACUUGGUGUGAAUUGCAUAAUCCCGCGAAUCAUCAAGUUUUUGAACUUAAUUUGUGCCCUAAGCCAUUCGGCCGAGGGCACGUCUGUCUGGGUGUCCCGU